rnacentral:rRNA from 1 species
UACGAAGGGGGCUAGCGUUGUUCGGAUUUACUGGGCGUAAAGGGCGCGUAGGCGGCCAGCACAAGUCAGUUGUGAAAUCUCCGAGCUUAACUCGGAAAGGUCAACUGAUACUGUGCGGCUAGAGUGCGGAAGGGGCAACUGGAAUUCUUGGUGUAGCGGUGAAAUGCGUAGAUAUCAAGAGGAACACCUGCGGCGAAGGCGGGUUGCUGGGCCGACACUGACGCUGAGGCGCGAAAGCCAGGGGAGCGAACGGG